AUUGAACGCUGGCGGCAUGCUUUACACAUGCAAGUCGAACGGUAACAGGCCGCAAGGUGCUGACGAGUGGCGAACGGGUGAGUAAUGCAUCGGAACGUGCCCAGUCGUGGGGGAUAACGCAGCGAAAGCUGUGCUAAUACCGCAUACGAUCUAUGGAUGAAAGCGGGGGACCGUAAGGCCUCGCGCGAUUGGAGCGGCCGAUGUCAGAUUAGGUAGUUGGUGGGGUAAAGGCCUACCAAGCCGACGAUCUGUAGCUGGUCUGAGAGGACGACCAGCCACACGGGGACUGAGACACGGCCCAGACUCCUACGGGAGGCAGCAGUGGGGAAUUUUGGACGAUGGGCGCAAGCCUGAUCCAGCAAUGCCGCGUGCAGGAAGAAGGCCUUCGGGUUGUAAACUGCUUUUGUACGGAACGAAACGGUCUGGGUUAAUACCCUGGGCUAAUGACGGUACCGUAAGAAUAAGCACCGGCUAACUACGUGCCAGCCGCCGCAGUAACAC
rnacentral:rRNA from 1 species